CUUUUCGGAUGUGCCGGGAGCAGGGGGCGGCCGGUUCCCCCUAGACCAGAUGUGAACGAGUGUGCAGACGGUGCCCACCCCCCCUGCCACGCCUCUGCGAGGUGCAGAAACACCAAAGGCGGCUUCCAGUGUCUCUGCGCGGACCCCUACGAGUUAGGAGACGAUGGGAGAACCUGCGUAGACUCCGGGAGGCUCCCUCGGGUGACUUGGAUCUCCAUGUCGCUGGCUGCUCUGCUGAUCGGAGGCUUCGCAGGUCUCACCUCGACGGUGAUUUGCAGGUGGACACGCACUGGCACUAAAUCCACACUGCCCAUCUCGGAGACAGGCGGAGGAACUCCCGAGCUGAGAUGCGGAAAGCACCAGGCCGUAGGGACCUCACCGCAGCGGGCCGCAGCUCAGGACUCGGAGCAG
rnacentral:misc_RNA from 1 species